rnacentral:rRNA from 1 species
GACGAACGCUGGCGGCGUGCUUAACACAUGCAAGUCGAACGGAAAGGCCCCUUUUGGGGUACUCGCGUGGCGAACGGGUGAGUAACACGUGCGUAACCUGCCCUUGCCUUCGGGAUAACUUCAGGAAACUGGGGCUAAUACCGGAUAGGAAUCCUUGCUGCAUGGUGGGGGUUGGAAAGCUUCGGCGGUUUGGGAUGGACUCGCGGCUUAUCAGCUUGCUGGUGGGGUAGUGGCUUACCAAGGCUUUGACGGGUAGCCGGCCUGAGAGGGCGACCGGCCACAUUGGGACUGAGAUACGGCCCAGACUCCUACGGGAGGCAGCAGGGGGGAAUAAUGCACAAUGGGCGGAAGCCUGAUGCAGCAACGCCGCGGGCGGGAUGACGGCCUUCGGGGUGUAAACCGCUUUCAGCAGGGGCGAAGCUGGUGGUGACGGUACCUGCAGAAGAAGCACCGGCUAACUACGUG